rnacentral:lncRNA from 1 species
GGAAGAGUAUGGUAAUGCCUGAGUUUGGACCUGCACGUCUUCCUGCACACCUACCAGUGAGGACAGCCUGAGUAAUUAAGCACUUUGGAUGUUGAAAGCAAUUUGGACAUCUCCUAAACCCAGAGCUGAAUUUUGCUGUUUUCUGCAAGGAAUAAGGGCGUCAGAAAUCCAGAGCAAGCUGAGGACAUGCAUGGUGGGUGAAGGCAGUGGAAUUUAAUCUCCCAGAUGGAAAGCAAAUCAAUCUGCCCAUCGCUGCAGCUGAGGUAUACUUUGGCUCAACUUUAAUUUAUUCUCUGAAGCUGAAGGAGGCUGGUCAUUUCAAGGUACAGAAAUAUCACAUUUCUCCUGUUAACCAGGCUGGUAAAAGGGAAAAAAAAAAGGAAGAGUUGGGAUUUUGUAGGUUAUGCUGUGAAAUUUGUCCUUGCUUUGUAUUAGGAAACAGCAG